rnacentral:rRNA from 1 species
GAUGAACGCUGGCGGUAUGCUUAACACAUGCAAGUCGAACGGGAUGCUUAGGCAUCUAGUGGCGGACGGGUGAGUAACGCGUGAGAAUCUGGCUCCAGGUCGGGGAUAACAGUUGGAAACGACUGCUAAUACCGGAUGUGCCGAGAGGUGAAAGAUUUAUUGCCUGGAGAUGAGCUCGCGUCUGAUUAGCUAGUUGGUGGUGUAAGGGACCACCAAGGCGUCGAUCAGUAGCUGGUCUGAGAGGAUGAUCAGCCACACUGGGACUGAGACACGGCCCAGACUCCUACGGGAGGCAGCAGUGGGGAAUUUUCCGCAAUGGGCGAAAGCCUGACGGAGCAAUACCGCGUGAGGGAGGAGGGCUCUUGGGUCGUAAACCUCUUUUCUCAAGGAAGAAGAAAGUGACGGUACUUGAGGAAUAAGCAUCGGCUAACUCCGUGCCAGCAGCCGCGGUAAUACGGAGGAUGCAAGCGUUAUCCGGAAUGAUUGGGCGUAAAGGGUCUGCAGGUGGAACUGAAAGUCUGCUGUUAAAGAGUUUGGCUUAACCAAAUAAAAGCGGUGGAAACUACAGAACUAGAGUGCGGUAGGGGCAAAAGGAAUUCCUGGUGUAGCGGUGAAAUGCGUAGAUAUCAGGAAGAACACCGGUGGCGAAAGCGUUUUGCUAGACCGUAACUGACACUGAGGGACGAAAGCUAGGGGAGCGAAUGGGAUUAGAUACCCCAGUAGUCCUAGCCGUAAACGAUGGAUACUAGGCGUGGCUUGUAUCGACCCGAGCCGUGCCGGAGCUAACGCGUUAAGUAUCCCGCCUGGGGAGUACGCACGCAAGUGUGAAACUCAAAGGAAUUGACGGGGGCCCGCACAAGCGGUGGAGUAUGUGGUUUAAUUCGAUGCAACGCGAAGAACCUUACCAAGACUUGACAUCCUGCGAAUCCUGGUGAAAGCUGGGAGUGCCUUCGGGAGCGCAGAGACAGGUGGUGCAUGGCUGUCGUCAGCUCGUGUCGUGAGAUGUUGGGUUAAGUCCCGCAACGAGCGCAACCCUCGUUUUUAGUUGCCAGCAUUAAGUUGGGCACUCUAGAGAGACUGCCGGUGACAAACCGGAGGAAGGUGAGGAUGACGUCAAGUCAGCAUGCCCCUUACGUCUUGGGCUACACACGUACUACAAUGCUACGGACAGAGGGCAGCGAGCCAGGGAUGGCAAGCGAAUCCAGAAACCGUAGCUCAGUUCAGAUCGAAGGCUGCAACUCGCCUUCGUGAAGGAGGAAUCGCUAGUAAUUGCAGGUCAGCAUACUGCAGUGAAUUCGUUCCCGGGCCUUGUACACACCGCCCGUCACACCAUGGAAGUUGGUCACGCCCGAAGUCAUUACCCCAACCGAAAGGAGGGGGAUGCCUAAGGUAGGACUGGUGACUGGGGUG